UGAGAAAAGGCUCAUCUAUGUCAUCUGUUAAAAGUUUGGCUCAUUUAUGCCAUUUCAGUUAACAAAUAAUGGCAUGGAUGAGCUUUUUCUCUAACGAAAAUGACAUAGAUGAGCCAAACUUUUAACGGAUGACAUAGAUGAGCCUUUUCUCA
rnacentral:pre_miRNA from 1 species